AUGACGAUGCCGCAGGUCUCCACGGCGCGGCUGGUGUUAGCCUCGGCUAACCUCAGGAAGCUGCGGCAGACCUCUGCAGGAACGGCCAGCUGCCGGAGCGCGUCCACCAUGGAGUCUGCAGAGAGGAACCGGCUGAGCCACAGACGUCCCGGACGCACCGACAUUCUGGGGGGGGUCCACGGCUUACUGUUGUUCUCGGGGCUGACCAGAGAGCCCGGCUUGAGCGAGCGGUCGAAGGUGGGCGGGCCCGGCGUGCCGGUGGUCACGGGCUGCCGGUAGUUCCCCGAAAGGUCCCCCGGACUCUGCGGCGCGGUGGGGGAGACCUGCGGGGGGCCUUGGAUUCGGGAAUGAGGGGCGUGUCAGGAGAGGGCGCGGCCGGCGUGGCGAACUCCAGCAGCACCCGCUGGCGUUCCUUCUCCAGCUCCUGGCGGCGGAUCAUCUCCUCGAAGGCGCUGAACUGCUCCUGCUCGCGCUGCCGCCGCUGCAUGUCGGCCACGCGCUCGCGCUCGGCGUCCAUCGCGCGCUGCCGGGACUGCUCCAGCGCCAUGGCCUCCUCCUGCGCCUUCUGAGCACAAAACACGCACCAGUUUGAGGAUUCUUGACGGUUUCUGGAUGUAGAUCUGCUGCAGAAUUCUGCCGUUUGAAGGAACGUCAUGCAGAGAAAGCCGUUUUUAGAACCUUCUUGAUCUGAUACUGAGCAUGCUCUUCUUCAAAUCUCCUCAGAAGAGCCUUUUUCAGGAUCUCGGCCUGGGGAAAGGCCACGUCCUUCAGUUUCUGAGGAAGGAACAGAAAAGGUUGAGGUUCAGAUCAGGAACUUUCUGGAAGACCAACAGACAAGUUCCCACCUUCAAGGUAUCUUUCUUUUCGGGAAUGUUGGCCGUCUUGUAGUCCCGAUGCUUCGGAAGCUUUUCGAUGAAGAGCCUUGAAGAAAAGAGCAGAGUGUGGUCAGGCUUUGUGCUGGCCGUUGGGCGGCGCGGCGUCUGCAAACCCUCACGUGAUGUAUUUGUUGUACAGGAGGAAGGCGUGCUCCACGUUCCCCUCCUCCGUGUAGAUGCUGGCCAUGCGGAUCAUCUCCAUGCCUGAGCGGAAGUACCGGCGGGGCGGGACGUCGUCGUUCACCUCCACCGUGCUCCCUUUCUUGGUGAGGGCGCGGACGCGCUCCUCCGGCGGCAGCCUGACGUCGUUGUGGUCCGCCAUGGCGACACCUCAACCUGGAAGACCUGAAGAACAGGUUUCAUAGAGGAGGAGCCGCAUUCUUCUGAAUGAGGCUUCAGCAGAACCGUCAACCGGGUCGAGAGGACACUCGGGUCUCUACUGAGAACAUUUUGGUUAAACCUGCAGCGACAGCAGAGGUGUCAAACUCAAUCGCAUGAGGGGCAACAUCCAAAACACACCUUAGGUCGCGGGCCGAACGGGACAAACAUUUAUUAAACA
rnacentral:lncRNA from 1 species